GACGAACGCUGGCGGCGUGCUUAACACAUGCAAGUCGUACGGUAAGGCCCUUUCGGGGGUACACGAGUGGCGAACGGGUGAGUAACACGUGAGUAACCUGCCCACAACUUUGGGAUAACGCUAGGAAACUGGUGCUAAUACUGGAUAUGUGCUCCUGCUGCAUGGGGGGGGUUGGAAAGCUCCGGCGGUUGUGGAUGGAAUCGCGGCCUAUCAGCUUGUUGGUGGGGUAGUGGCCUACCAAGGCGGCGGCGGGUAGCCGGCCUGAGAGGGUGACCGGCCACAUUGGGACUGAGAGAAGGCCCAGACACCUACGCGAGGCAGCAGGGGGGAAGAUUGAACAAUGGGCGCAAGCCUGAUGCAGCAACGCCGCGUGCGGGAAGACGGCCUUCGGGUUGUAAACCGCAUUCAGCAGGGACGAAGCUUUUUGUGACGGUACCUGCAGAAGAAGCACCGGCUAACUACGUG
rnacentral:rRNA from 1 species